UCGGCAAAGUGAACCAUGCGUCGCAAGUUCCCUCGAACUCAUAAAGCCUGCGGCACACGAGAGCAACUUGCUGAGCAAACCGCCUCGGUGGCAGCUAGCUCAGCACGUUUCUCUCGUUUGAGGAUAGUUUUCGUGAGGAUUUGACCUCUCGAGGCCUUGAGGAAAAUAUCUAUCGUGUUUGAUAUUUUUCACCUGGCGAGGAAAAAAUCUCAGCGUCUGCGGAUGUUGUGAGCUUAGUGCUGAACUGCUAGAAUCAAUUAGCCAAUGAGAACCCAUAGUUUCUUCAUGUGACUUGGAACAAAAUGGAGGGAAAUGCAAAUGAUUUUGUCAGUUAAGUCGCCGUUGAGUAGUUUUCCCAACGUGUGCGGGGAAAUUACAUAGCUGAGCUAGCUGUCACUUGAGGCGGUUAGCUCAGCAAGUUUCUCUCGUGUGGGCAGGCUUAAUUCAAGAUAACAUAACUGUACGUCAAAACUUGCGUUGCAAAUUGUAGCCAAAAUUGGGUACUUCCUCGGGCAGAAGAAUUUGCAUCACAGAUUAUGUCAUCAGUUAGUUAUAGUGAUUAGCGUUGGGGUUAGGGUUAGAUUAAGGAUUAGAGAUAGGGUUAUAUCUGACGCCACAAACAACACAACUAGCCGAUCACGUGAUCCGUUCUCCUCUAUCCGAGGAACUAGCCCAAAAAUUGGUCUUAAACAUCAUCUUCAACACAUCCGAUAAC